AAUAAUCAUAUGUUUAUCCUUCAAUCACUUCUUUGAGAUAUGCAAUUUGAACGAAAAAAAGAUAGCUGUAUAACUUUUGCUCGGCAAGAUAAGUCCAUAGAAAUAAGGUGCACAUGAAUUAGAGAUGACUAGUGUGGCUAAGGAUGAUACUGAUUACUAGAAUAUGAUUUUCUU